GAUGGCUGCAGCAAUGAAGCUGAAAAGCAGGGUGGUGUUUGUUUACAGAUAGUGACACAGGACUCAGGAGUGCCAUAGGCGGCCAAGAGGGAAACAUAUGGGCGUAAGGUGACACUGAGGACCAGUGAGAGUUGUGUUAUCAAUGUUCCAGGACAUUCUGCAACAUCUCAGCUGCUGGAAGGUGAGAGUGGGUGGAUAAAGCCCAGUGCAUGGCUACACUCCAUCACACACCCCAGUCUCCUCACAUGUCAAUGUUACCAGAGUUAGGACGGGGCUGUGAGCGCGCUGCACAUGGCGUUGAGCAAUGACGUCAUCCACCCCCGCCGACGCAGCGGGCAGGAAGGGAGUCUGCACGAGGAGAGGUGGCAGUAUAAAGGGUGAUUCUCCAUCCUGUAAGGUCUGUUCCUGCAGUGGGAUCGGUUGACUCCUGAGGUGCAUGCCCUGGCUCCCACUGCACAUGACAAAGUUGGAUCAGACCAGAUAAUUGCAUAGAGAGAGAAAGAGUCCCCCUGAUGAAGUCUGCAGACUGUUGAACUACAGUAUGGCAAACACACUGGAGCGACUGGUCUUCGUGACAUUACCCAGCAACUCUGGAAUUCUUCCAUUGAAUGAUCUCAAUAAACCAUUGAAUAGCUGGAACUUUUCGUGGACCAAUAAUCUAAUAAAUAGUACGCCUUUAUCUUA